rnacentral:rRNA from 1 species
GACGAACGCUGGCGGCGUGCUUAACACAUGCAAGUCGAACGGUGAAGGGGUCUGCUUUUGUGGGCCCUGGAUGAGUGGCGCACGGGUGAGUAACACGUGAGUAACCUGCCCCCUUCUUCUGGAUAACCGCAUGAAAGUGUGGCUAAUACGGGAUAUUCUGGGUCUGUCGCAUGAUGGGUCUGGGAAAGAUUGCGCCUUUGGGUGUUUUUGGUGGGGGAUGGGCUCGCGGCCUAUCAGCUUGUUGGUGGGGUGAUGGCCUACCAAGGCGGUGACGGGUAGCCGGCCUGAGAGGGUGGACGGUCACACUGGGACUGAGACACGGCCCAGACUCCUACGGGAGGCAGCAGUGGGGAAUAUUGCACAAUGGGCGCAAGCCUGAUGCAGCGACGCCGCGUGAGGGAUGGAGGCCUUCGGGUUGUAAACCUCUUUCGCCAGUGAAGCAGGCCUGCUCCUUGUGGGUGGGUUGACGGUAGCUGGAUAAGAAGCGCCGGCUAACUACGUG